rfam:Ictidomys tridecemlineatus contig112153, whole genome shotgun sequence.
UGGGAUGUAGCUCAUUGGUAGAGCUUGUGGUUUGCAUGCAUGAGACUCUGGGUUCAAUCCACAGUAUCUCAA